GAUGAACGCUGGCGGCGUGCCUAAUACAUGCAAGUCGAGCGAACGGACGAGAAGCUUGCUUUUCUGAUGUUAGCGGCGGACGGGUGAGUAACACGUGGAUAACCUACCUAUAAGACUGGGAUAACUUCGGGAAACCGGAGCUAAUACCGGAUAAUAUUUUGAACCGCAUGGUUCAAAAGUGAAAGACGGUCUUGCUGUCACUUAUAGAUGGAUCCGCGCUGCAUUAGCUAGUUGGUAAGGUAACGGCUUACCAAGGCAACGAUGCAUAGCCGACCUGAGAGAGUGAUCGGCCACACUGGAACUGAGACACGGUCCAGACUCCUACGGGAGGCAGCAGUAGGGAAUGUUCCGCAAUGGGCGAAAGCCUGACGGAGCAACGCCGCGUGAGUGAUGAAGGUCUUCGGAUCGUAAAACUCUGUUAUUAGGGAAGAACAUAUGUGUAAGUAACUGUGCACAUCUUGACGGUACCUAAUCAGAAAGCCACGGCUAACUACGUG
rnacentral:rRNA from 1 species